rnacentral:misc_RNA from 1 species
CCAUCAUUACCAGCAGAAGAUGACACGAAAACCCCUCUAGAAACGGCACCGUAAGAACCAAUGGCUAUGGGAUCAAGAUAAUAAGGCGAGGAAAUUCCAUCACCACCGCCAAUGGAGAUGGAUAUAACAUCCACUCCAUCAUUAACAGCAGCAUCGAAAGCAGCUAAUAUAUCAGAAUCGAAACAGCCCGAAUUUUUCCAACAAACCUUGUAAGCAGCCAGUCGCGCUUUUGGGGCCACACCUUUCGCAAUCCCAGUCGCGUAACCCUCCAUGCUCGCACCGAACGAAUGCCUUCCCGCCGCCGUCGACGCCGUGUGUGUCCCAUGUCCGUCCGCAUCUCUCGGAGAUUUGAACUCAAUAGUUUCGUUUAUUCCACUUAUCGGACCCGCUGAUCUCGCUGCUGCUUCAUGACCUUUGAGGAAAAAACGAGCCCCGAUUAACUUCUUAUUACAAUUUUUGGGGGUGAAUUUCACUCCAGCCUGACAAAUGCCUUUCCACCUCGCCGGCACCGGCCCGAGAUUGACAUCCGAGAAGCUACGGCG